UUCUAAGGGCGUUGAAGCAUGAUCGCAAGGACAUGUGGAGCGCUUAGAAGUGAGAAUGCCGGUGUGAGUAGCGAAAGACGGGUGAGAAUCCCGUCCACCGAUUGACUAAGGUUUCCAGAGGAAGGCUCGUCCGCUCUGGGUUAGUCGGGUCCUAAGCUGAGGCCGACAGGCGUAGGCGAUGGAUAACAGGUUGAUAUUCCUGUACCACCAUUAUUCGUUUUAAGCGAUGGGGGGACGCAGUAGGAUAGGCGAAGCGUGCUGUUGGAGUGCACGUCCAAGCAGUGAGAUUGAGU
rnacentral:rRNA from 1 species